AACGAACGCUGGCGGCAUGCCUAACACAUGCAAGUCGAACGAGACCUUCGGGUCUAGUGGCGCACGGGUGCGUAACGCGUGGGAACCUGCCUCUAGGUUCGGAAUAACUCAGAGAAAUUUGAGCUAAUACCGGAUAAUGUCUUCGGACCAAAGAUUUAUCGCCUUUAGAUGGGCCCGCGUUGGAUUAGCUAGUUGGUGGGGUAAAGGCCUACCAAGGCGACGAUCCAUAGCUGGUCUGAGAGGAUGAUCAGCCACACUGGGACUGAGACACGGCCCAGACUCCUACGGGAGGCAGCAGUGGGGAAUAUUGGACAAUGGGCGAAAGCCUGAUCCAGCAAUGCCGCGUGAGUGAUGGAGGCCUUAGGGUUGUAAAGCUCUUUUACCCGAGAUGAUAAUGACAGUAUCGGGAGAAUAAGCUCCGGCUAACUCCGUGCCAGCAGCCGCAGUAA
rnacentral:rRNA from 1 species